GAACUUAGGAUGAUGGCGAAGGUGUUCGAUCAUCCACAUCUGAAGAAGAAUGCUCCAGCCUUCGAAAAACUAACCCCCAGAUUUGCAAAAAAGUUAAUGCCUGGUAAAUGUCUGAUAGCACUAAUGGGACAAGAGUGUGAUCUUUUUUGUCGAUGAGAACCUAUGUGAUCCUAUCCAUACGAAUAUCUAUUGUACCUUUGGAAUUCGGAAACACUAUGAUUCCCAAAAAUGCUACAAUGAAAGCAAAUCAUAUCUCCCAUGUGAUUUUGUUCUGUUUGUUACUCAAACCCUUCUCAUGUGUUUCAAAUCCAGUUGAGUGUCCAAACUUGUAAUACAAGAAGCAGAACUUACAACACUCGUUACUUGCGCAGUCGUUGCUUAUUUAAUUGCUAAUUUUCAAAAGAUCGAAGAAUUUGUGUACUAAGGGAGCGCUGGGAAAUAUGAGUUGCUGCUUUCUUAACUCUUGGCCGAAAUAUGUACCCAGCUAUUUUUUCUAGGGUGGACGUGAAUUCGAAAUCCCAGAAACGGAACACAUUGUUAACGGGAUCCCAAAAGGUCAAUCAAAGCCUUAAUCAAAUCCUCCCGUGGCUUGAUGUGCAUGAUGUCUAACAGGGGACUCAACUGCUCUUUUACCUAAACUUGGCCAUCUUCAUGUAGAUCAACCCACCAACUACGUAGCUGCAUCUGAG
rnacentral:lncRNA from 1 species